GACAGAGGAUGCAAGCGUUAUCCGGAAUGAUUGGGCGUAAAGCGUCUGUAGGUGGCUUUUUAAGUCUGCCGUCAAAUCCCAGGGCUUAACCCUGGACAGGCGGUGGAAACUACCAAGCUGGAGUACGGUAGGGGCAGGGGGAAUUUCCGGUGGAGCGGUGAAAUGCGUAGAGAUCAUGAGGAAGACCAGUGGCGAAGGCGGGUCUCUGGACAGUUCCUGACACUGAGGCACGAAGGCCAGGGGAGCAAACGGG
rnacentral:rRNA from 1 species